rnacentral:lncRNA from 1 species
UGCUCUUCCGCCAUGAUUGUGAGGUCUCUCCAGCCACGUGGAACUUUUUCAUCAGCUUUUCAUGUUUCACUGGGGAGUGCAUCCUGAGAGGUCGUCACACUAUCAUCUUGGAAGUGAAUCUCUUACAUUUCAGUUUUAAAGGGAAAAACAACAUGAACUGUUCGUCUAUCUAUAUCGUCAUUAUUUUUUACCUCAUGGAUUGAAACAAAUUUUAAAGGAAAAAAGAAUGUUAAGAAAGAGCAGCACUUACUAUCAGGGAGGCACCUCACGAGCAUUGUAAACACUCAGGCUCGCUGCUUUCUGAAGGACAUGCCAAUCAUGCACAGCACUUACUAGAAACUGCAAGACUGCACAACAUGAUGGUAUUUAUUCCAGGAACAGGAGCCAGUCCUGGGCACACACAUAAAGGGACUUCCUUCACUCCCCAGAAGAAGAGAAAGCAUGCUGACACACAUCUGCCCAAGCAAUCAGAAGGCAGCUAAAGCCGCCACAGUCUUCACUCACCAACAGUUAGACCUUUUCAAUUGAUUUUAUUGAAGAAAGUGAGUGCUGAGCACCAUGAGUUCUCAUAAACAAUCCAUUUUGGCAAAUGCUUUAAGAAUGUUGGUUAAUUGCAGUUAGGCAGCAUCGACGUAUUUUAUUUUUUGGAAAGCAAGAAGCUGGCUUACCAACAUUAAGUUAAACAACAUGUAAGGGUUAGAAAUAUGAAUCAACAAACUAUUAGGGUGGUACCAUCUCUUUAUAAUAAAACAAUGUAGAUUGAUUAAGUAUAGCCUAAAAGUUUACCACAAAUCAUAACUACAUUUAAGCUUUGAAUUUCAUGACUAGUGAUUAAUUUUGCAUGUCAACUUGACUGAGCUUAUAGAAUGCCCAGGUAUCUGAUUAAACGUUAUUUCUGGAGGUGUCUGUGAGGGUGUUUCUGUAAGAGAUUAGCAUCUGAAGGCCAGGUGUGGUGGCUCAUGCCUGUAAUCCUAGUACUUUGGGAGGCCGAGGUGGGCAGAUUGCCUGAGCUCAGGAGUCUGAGACCAGCCUGGGCAACAUGGCAAAACACCGUCUGUACUAAAAAAUACAAAGUUUAGCCGGAUGUGGUGGCACACACCUGUAGUCCCAGCUACUAGGGAGGCUAAGGCAUGAGAAUUUCCUGAGCCUGCGAGGCGGAGGUUGUGGUAAGCCAAGAUUGUACUCCAGCCUGGGUGAUAAAGUGAGACCCUAUCUCAUAAAAAACAAAAAAACAAAAAAGAAAAAAGGAGAAGAAAGAGACACAGAUUAGCAUUUGAAUGGGUGGACUGAGUAAAGCAGAUGGCCCUCGUCAGUGUUGGUGGGAAUUGUCCUAUCCAUUGAGGGCUUAAAUGAAACAAAGACUGAGGAAGGCUGAAUUCAAUCUCUGCUGACUGCUGGGGCUGAGACAUCAAUCUUCUCCGGCUCUCAGUGCUCUUCCAGACUCAGACUGGAAUGUACACUAUCAGCUCUCCAGUUCUCAGGCCUUCAAAUUACACCUCUGGCUUUCCUGGGUCUCCAGCUUGCAGAUGGCAGAUCGUGGGACUUCAUGGGACUUCUCAGACUCCAUAACCAAGGCUGAGGAGCUACAGUCUAAAUGCAUACGCAUGUUGGGAACCGAAGUCAGCCAUCUUCCCUAGGACAAAUCUUUACUCUUCUAAAGAAGGACAAGAAUAAGGUCUACUUUCAGCUAACCAUUUAUAAGGUUCAGUUUUCAUUGGAUCAAAGGAAUAUAAUCUAAUACUUUUUAAAUGGGGUCAAAACAGUAUUAUAAGGAAAAUAUUUACUGCAAAUAUUUAUAAUUGUGUAAGGAGAAUCAUUCUUUUUAAAAUCAAGUUGUGUUUUAGCUUUAGAAUCUUUUAAAAUCACAAGUAUUUGAGAAUCCAUCCCCACAAAAAUUAAAAAAUACUAUAUUAGUUAUUUUAAACAGUAUUCAUUACUUUUACUGUUUAUGUUAUAAUAAACUUAUGUAUAUAAACAUUUGAAUAUGCAUGGUACAAAGUACAAGUACAGAACAUGUAGUAAGUAGUAUGUGCAUGUAUGUGUGUGUGUGCAUAUCGUAUAAAAAUAUGAGAAAAAUUUUACUUAUAUAAAAACAUAUAUAUAAAUAAGUGUUCAGGAGAGUUUUUGAGAAUCUGCUUUACAUACUGCAAUUUUGAGUGAAAAUUAUGGAUAUUAAUUUCCUGAUUAAAGGAACUGUGUCUUCUCAUGAUGAGUCCUAAAAAUAAGCCAAAAUACUACUUAAUCUCCAUCACUUUUUUUCUUAAUUACUGGCUGACUUUUUUUCUGCGUGAAAUGGCAUUACAAUGGCAGGGAAAUUUAAUAAUGCAAAAAUCACUUUUGAAAAUGAGAAAGAAUAAUUCUAGUUACCUUUUAAAUUGAUACUUUUAAAGAGAAAUUCAAAUCAAAAAUAAAUAAAUUAAAGUCUGAGACCAAUUUGCCACUGUGAAUAUAAGCACAUUAACCCCAGGAAGAGCCAAGAACUACACAAACCUCUCUAUGAGAAUUUACCAGUCUUCUUUCAUUUGGCAAGAAAAAGCUCAGGAAAAUUUGCUUGUUUAAAUUCUAUGAGCCUAGUCUAUGGGGAAAAAAAAAAUAGGAAUAUGAAAGAAAUUCUUACCUCCAGCAACAUAUCAUAGGGAGAGAUGUGGACAAAUGAACAAUAUUUACUGGAAAUAGGAAUUAUAAAUCAAAUUUUGAAAACCCUAUGCUAAGGAAGGAAGGAGUUAUUAUAAAUUCACUCAGAGACCCAAACGUUAGGUUCAGCUAAAGAAAUGUCAGUCUUGGAUAUAUAUUAAAUGUUUUCAAGAGCAAAAUUGAAAUUACUGAAUUGGAAAUGCUCCAAAUUAUAGGUCAUCAUUUCUACUUUGGACAAUUUUUUAUGAAU